rnacentral:tRNA from 1 species
UGUGAUGUAGCUCAGUGGUAGAGCACCUAACUGGCAUGCAUGAGGCCCUGGGUUCAAUCUUCAGCAUUACAC